rnacentral:sRNA from 1 species
ACAUCCUUUUGUAUAGUUGGAGAGUUGGAGAGCUCUUUACGCCAGAGCUUCGUUUCAAUAUCCAGUCAUUACAAAUAUUCAAAAUGUUAGCUGCUAAACAAUGACAUAGAAGUGAAUCUCUGAAUAGCUUGUGUUUUCUGUCGUCCACAAGAGUAAAAAGUGAAUUAUAAGAGGAAAGAGAUCUUUAGUAACAAAAUGCCAGAAACUUCCUACGACCAGUGGAGACGAGUAUACACGUACAACGAACAAGUGCUUCGUUCACUAAGUCCUGGAGACAUUGUCAAAUUUAAGAACUCAUCCUAUGAACAUUGGGCUAUUUAUGUUGGUGGACAAAACGUGAUUCACAAGGUGUGACAAG